rnacentral:rRNA from 1 species
CGCGUAGGUGGCAUGAUAAGGGUGUGGUGAAAGCCCGGGGCUCAACCCCGGGUCGGCCAUGCCGACUGUCAAGCUGGAGUACUGUAGGGGCAGGCGGAAUUCCGGGUGUAGCGGUGGAAUGCGUAGAGAUCCGGAGGAAGACCGGUGGCGAAGGCGGCCUGCUGGGCAGUUACUGACACUGAUGCGCGACAGCGUGGGGAGCAAACA